rnacentral:lncRNA from 1 species
GCCGGAGGCCGUUGUGACGCUGCCCCCUGACGCGCCACUUCGGCAAAGCUUUUCUUUGGCAGGAUGGGCACGACCGUGAGUACGCGGCGUGAUCCCCAUCACAGUUUACACAGUGUAGAGAGUUCUUACAUUCUUCAGUUGCGUGUUCAAGGGCACUGCAUUUGGCGCAUGUUUGGCGGCCUCGGCAGCUCUGCGAGCUGUGGCCAAAACGUUGGCAUUUGAAACAUCUCAAGGGAUUUGGCACAUACGGGCGUACACGAAGCUUGAUGUACCCGGCCUCGAUUGACUCGGGCAGGACACUUGAAUUGAAGGUGAGUAUUAGGUGUUUGGUCGGAAUUUCUUUACCGUCUCGCCUUAUCUUGAUCCUUUUGACAUUUAUGACAUUCUGUUCGCUGAAGCCCUCCAAGAGCUCAGCCUCAGAGAGCUCCAGCAAAUCAUCGUCCGAGACAACGCCGCGGGAAGUAUUCAUCGUGCGGUGCGGGGUUACUACUACUUGGGUCUCCCCAAAUGAUACUAGCUGAGGCAGUUUUUCAAAUUGCUUCUGAUCGCGGAGCUCCAGGAGGAGGUCUCCGCUAGCCAUCCUCGACACCUUAUAUCCUGGACCAAAAACUUCGAGUGGAUCACGUGAAAACGAGGGAAGGAUUCUUUUUGUCGACCAAAAAACUGGAAUAAAUCAUCGGUGCGCCCUCUUUUCUGAGGGCGAUCAGGAAGUGGAGGGAAGGAUGUUGCCAUAAAGGAAUUGAAUUUUCGGCAAUAACGCCAGCCACCCACCAUGGAGUCCUACAAGGGGACGCUACAGAGACUGUAAGAACAGGUCCUGUAAACGCCAGCUGUACGUCAUCACUAUAACCAAAUAUGAAAUAACCUAGGUUGGUUAAUCACACAAGGUUAACCCUUGCUGCCUGGAAACUAUGGAAGUAAGCGGAAGGAAGGAGAAGACAGGAAAGAUGAAAAGUGAGAGAAAGACGAAGGCUGGAGGGAGAGAGAGACAGGAAUAGGCAACUACCGAUUUCCCCCGGGUGGGUCAGUCCGGGGGGGCCGUCUAUGUGAAGCAGAGGCCAAAGGGGUGUGUUGCGUCCGCCGGGGGGCCUUAAAGGUCCAGACACCCAGCAUCGGCUCAACCCCCAGGAUCCCCCUUUCCCCAGACACGGCUAAGCCGCGCACGGCUACACGCGGGAGGGUCCAACCCUCGUGUGCUCGGGUCCGUGGUGUCGCAACACA